rnacentral:rRNA from 1 species
AACGCUGAAGCCCUUCGGGGUGGAUGAGUGGCGAACGGGUGAGUAACACGUGGGUAAUCUGCCCUGCACUCUGGGAUAAGCCUUGGAAACGAGGUCUAAUACCGGAUAGGACACGUGGCCGCAUGGUCUGCGUGUGGAAAGUUCCGGCGGUGCAGGUUGAGCCCGCGGCCUAUCAGCUUGUUGGUGGGGUGAUGGCCUACCAAGGCGACGACGGGUAGCCGGCCUGAGAGGGUGACCGGCCACACUGGGACUGAGACACGGCCCAGACUCCUACGGGAGGCAGCAGUGGGGAAUCUUGCGCAAUGGGCGAAAGCCUGACGCAGCAACGCCGCGUGGGGGAUGACGGCCUUCGGGUUGUAAACCUCUUUCGACCGGGACGAAGGAUUCGUUUGACGGUACCGGUAGAAGAAGCACCGGCUAACUACGUGCCAGCAGCCGCGGUAAUACGUAGGGUGCGAGCGUUGUCCGGAAUUAUUGGGCGUAAAGAGCUCGUAGGCGGUUUGUCGCGUCGGCCGUGAAAACCUGCCGCUUAACGGUGGGCGUGCGGUCGAUACGGGCAGACUUGAGUUCGGUAGGGGAGACUGGAAUUCCUGGUGUAGCGGUGAAAUGCGCAGAUAUCAGGAGGAACACCGGUGGCGAAGGCGGGUCUCUGGGCCGAUACUGACGCUGAGGAGCGAAAGCGUGGGGAGCGAACAGGAUUAGAUACCCUGGUAGUCCACGCCGUANACGGUGGGCGCUAGGUGUGGGGACUGUUUCCACGGUCCCUGUGCCGUAGCUAACGCAUUAAGCGCCCCGCCUGGGGAGUACGGCCGCAAGGCUAAAACUCAAAGGAAUUGACGGGGG